rnacentral:lncRNA from 1 species
GUCUUACCAGGACGGUAGACAACGGGCAUUGCAGUGUGUGCUGUGCAGGGAAGACGAGAGCUGGCCUGUGUUGCCACAGACGAACCUGAACUAUUGGGUGGAGGAAGAUGACAGGGCAGCAUGCAGAAUCCUUGUCACACAGGCCAGGAGGAUCUUGGGCAACUCCUUAGCAAAACGUGUGGUGAGGCAGCGUGGCGAGAUGAUACAACAGCAGUACAGACCUCAAUAUGCUGGGAAACCACUAGAUCUCCCAUGCCAACAGCCAACCAAGGGCAGGGUGAACAGGCUUGGUGCAGGCUGAGGAAGAGUUCCAUCUCUACUCCUCUGAGGUGCACCAAGCUAAUAGUGUCUUCCUUGUCCCCAAGAUCAUAAGAAUUCCACUGGAGUGUGUGUUCUUCAGUACAAGGCACACUGUGACAAGAAAAGUGUUGGCAGUGCUUUAGCUGAAAGAAUGAGUGUGCUGUCCUGCUGCUUACUCACUGCUGCUAUGGCCACCCUGGAGAGACUAAGCAUAUUGACACGGGACCACCACAGUGACUUAUCCAUAGAGCACCUCACAGCAUUGGGUGUGUUGACCUGAUGAUCCUUUCCACCUCAGCAGUGUUAACACGAAGUUGUAGGAUCUUCCUGAGCAGCAUUGACCUCCACUCCAGGACACUGGAAGUCAAACCCCACCAGUAAUCUCUUGGCAAUGGCUUUUUAUGACAGUUACAGCAAUAAACUUACUUGACUUCUGCUAUGACAAGAAUCUCAAUUAUAGAUAUGUUAUCUAUAUAAGUUUAGUGGAGUCAGCUGAGUCACGUACCUGGUCUUCCCUACUGAGUGCGGCCGUUAGUAGGGUCUAUAGGCAUCCUUGGGUCGCUUGAGCUGAACCUUUAGGCGCUUCAUGCCGAUCU